GACGAACGCUGGCGGCGUGCUUAACACAUGCAAGUCGAACGGUAAGGCCCUUCGGGGUACACGAGUGGCGAACGGGUGAGUAACACGUGGGUGAUCUGCCCUGCACUUCGGGAUAAGCCUGGGAAACUGGGUCUAAUACCGGAUAGGACCACUGCCUGCAUGGGUGGUGGUGGAAAGCUUUUGCGGUGUGGGAUGGGCCCGCGGCCUAUCAACUUGUUGGUGGGGUGAUGGCCUACCAAGGCGACGACGGGUAGCCGGCCUGAGAGGGUGACCGGCCACACUGGGAAUGAGAUACGGCCCAGACUCCUACGGGAGGCAGCAGUGGGGAAUAUUGCACAAUGGGCGCAAGCCUGAUGCAGCGACGCCGCGUGAGGGAUGACGGCCUUCGGGUUGUAAACCUCUUUCAGCACCGACGAAGCGAAAGUGACGGUACCUGCAGAAAAAGCACCGGCUAACUACGUGCCAGCAGCCGCAGUAA
rnacentral:rRNA from 1 species